rnacentral:tRNA from 1 species
GGAGGUGUGGCAGAGCGGUUGAUUGCACCGGUCUUGAAAACCGGCGACGUUGAAAGACGUCCGUGAGUUCGAAUCUCACCGCCUCCGCCA